rnacentral:rRNA from 1 species
ACCCUUAGAUGUUCUGGGCCGCACGCGCGCUACACUGACGGAGGCAGCGAGCAUGUCCUUCGCCGAGAGGUGUGGGGAAUCUUGUGAGUCUCCGUCGUGCUGGGGAUAGAUGGUUGCAAUUGUCGAUCUUGAACGAGGAAUUCCUAGUAAGCGCGAGUCAUCAGCUCGCGCUGAUUACGUCCCUGCCCUUUGUACACACCGCCCGUCGCUACUACCGAUUGGAUGGUUUAGCGAGAACUUUGGACCGGAGCUCGGGUGGUCAGCAAUGGCCGCCCGAGACAUACUGGGAAAUCGCUCCAGCUUGAUCAUCUAGAGGAAGUAAAAGUCGUAACA